rnacentral:rRNA from 1 species
AUGCUCCUCCGGCUCCGGUGCUACAUCCUCACCCAGCUCCUAUCGUCUCCCUCCGCCUCUCCCGCCUCCCAGCUGCACCGCCUCUUCUCCGCCGCAGCGCCCGGCGCCUCCCCGAACCCUAGCUUCGCCGUGGAGGAGUACCUCGUCGCCACCUGCGGCCUCACCCGACCCCAGGCCCUCAAGGCCUCCGCCAAGCUCUCCCACCUCAGGUCCCCCGCCAAUCCCGACGCCGUGCUCGCCUUCCUCGCCGGCCUCGGUCUCUCCGACGCCGAUGUCGCCGCCCUCGUCGCCAGGGACCCGCAGUUCCUCUGCGCCAGCGUGGAGAGAACCCUGACGCCCGUAGCCGCAGGGCUCUCUGGCCUCGGCUUAUCGCGUUCCGACAUCGCGCGUCUCGCAUCGCUCGCCGCCCACAAAUUCCGCCAAAAAUCUGUCCUCUCCAAGCUGCAGUACUACCUGCGCCUCUUCGGCACCUCCCACAACUUCCUCCGGGUGAUGAAGUUCUCCAAUAUCCUCUCACACAGCAUCGAGAGGGUGGUCAAGCCCAAUGUCGCGUACCUGCGAGAGUGUGGGUUGCAGGAUUGUGAUAUCGCCAAGUUUUGCAUCCAAAGACCGAGGAUGAUCAUCAGCAACCCGGAGCAUGUUCAGGCAAUGGUGGCGUGCGCUGAAAACAUUGGUGUGCCCCGUGCCUCUGGGAUGUUCAGGCACGCACUUCAGGCUGUUGCAUUCCUCGGUGAGGAGGAGAUCACAGUCAGGGUGGGGUACUUGAAGAGCACGUUCAGGUGGACGGAUGCUGAGGUAGGCAUGGCUGUUUCUAAGUUUCCACCGUUGCUGAGGGGGUCCGAGAAAUCGCUGCAGCGCAGAUUUGAGUUCCUCAUCUCCGAGGUGGGUUUGGAAUCGGCGUACAUUGCUCAGCGACCCGUAAUGCUAGGUCUCAGCCUAGAGGGCCGGCUCAGGCCCCGGCACUACGCUGUAAAGUUUAUCAAGGAAAAUGGAUUGCUCAAGUGUGACCCAAGCUACUAUACUGUUUUCAAGGAGUCCGACAUGACAUUCAAGAAGAAGUUCAUACACCCUCAUAAGGAAGCUGCACCGCACCUUGAAAAAGACUACGAUGCUGCUUGUAAAGGGGAAGUGCCCACUAAUUUCAGAUUCACAUAA